GAUAACAUUAGUACAAGAAAGCAAACCACCACUUCCUUAGGUACUGUAGAAAACUUAAAUUCUACUUGUGCUGAUGUUGGGUUACUGUACUUUCAAUCUUCCAUGGCUAAUACCCCCCGAUACUAUCCAUAGUUUCAUCAAAAUAAGCAACCAACACAACAAAAACAGAAUCUGUUAACAGCAGACCAAUCUGUAGCAAUCUGUAUUUUUCAUAUACCUCUGGUACUUCAAAAAUUCAGAAACAUUACGACAGUCUGAAGAAUUUGCGUAGCAAUGAGAAGCAAAAAUAAUAAAAUCAAAAUCUCCUACAGAACAAAAAUGAAAAUUCUUUUCGUGAGCAGAAAGUUUCUGUCUUUUCCAGCAUGACCAAACGAUCAUCCUCAAGACUAAUCAUAACGGUUUUGCUUGGCACAAACGCAAAAAGAAAC
rnacentral:lncRNA from 1 species